rnacentral:piRNA from 1 species
UACUAGUGCUACCUGAAGAGAAAAAAAC